AUUGAACGCUGGCGGCAUGCCUUACACAUGCAAGUCGAACGGUAGAGUAGCAAUACUUGAGAGUGGCGAACGGGUGAGUAAUAUAUCGGAACGUGCCCAGUUGUGGGGGAUAACGUAGCGAAAGUUACGCUAAUACCGCAUACGAUCUAAGGAUGAAAGCGGGGGACUCGCAAGAGCCUCGCGCAACUGGAGCGGCUGAUAUCAGAUUAGGUAGUUGGUGAGGUAAAAGCUCACCAAGCCGACGAUCUGUAGCUGGUUUGAGAGAACGACCAGCCACACUGGGACUGAGACACGGCCCAGACUCCUACGGGAGGCAGCAGUGGGGAAUUUUGGACAAUGGGCGCAAGCCUGAUCCAGCAAUGCCGCGUGCAGGAAGAAGGCCUUCGGGUUGUAAACUGCUUUUGUACGGAACGAAAAGGUCCUGGCUAAUACCCGGGGCUCAUGACGGUACCGUAAGAAUAAGCACCGGCUAACUACGUGCCAGCAGCCGCCGCAGUAA
rnacentral:rRNA from 1 species